UACGAAGGGGGCUAGCGUUGUUCGGAAUUACUGGGCGUAAAGGGCGCGUAGGCGGCGUGUCAAGUCAGGCGUGAAAGCCCCGGGCUCAACCUGGGAACCGCGCUUGAGACUGGCAUGCUCGAGUUCGGGAGAGGAUGGUGGAAUUCCCAGUGUAGAGGUGAAAUUCGUAGAUAUUGGGAAGAACACCGAUGGCGAAGGCAGCCAUCUGGACCGACACUGACGCUGAGGCGCGAAGCGUGGGAGCAAACAGGAUUGAG
rnacentral:rRNA from 1 species